ensembl:lincRNA
UCAGCACAUUUGUUGAAAAGUCUAUCCCUUUGUCUGUAGUUAUUUUUUUCUCUCUGUAGUUAUUUAAAUUUAGUUUCCUUUUCAUUGUAUUAGUAUUUGUCUCCCCCACUAGACUUUAAGCUCUAUAUAUCUGUUCUAAUUUAACCUGGGAUCUUCUCCACCCCUGGCUCCUCCUUCCAAGCAGAGAAAACAGAGCACGGGUUGCCUGUAAGCCAUUUAUUCAGAGACGUGACCCCAGAGUGCAGGAGUAGGGACUGGAGAAGGUGAAAUAGGAAGGCCAAAGGCUGGAAGCAGGUACCCUGAUGAGUUAUCUAAUUGGUCACCACCAGGGCUCCCUCUGGCCAGGACCUGCUGAGGAGCAGCGUGAGAUGCGCCUCAGAAUUGUCCCGAGGGUCAGAGAGGGGAGCAGAUGCCCACCAACUCCAGCCCCCGCUGGUCAACUUCCUCCGACCUCAAGAUCAGGAAGAAGCUGUGGGCAGAAGGCAAGAGCUGGUGGAGCAGUUAAGCCCAGGUGCUUCCACUUGCUCUGGGCUGGUUGCCACAGAGACGGCGGCGUAGAAGUGGAAAUAUGUAAAAAACAAAACAAAACAAAACAAAAAACUGGGAGGUAAAGACUGUAUCCAAGGAUCCCGUGGCUACCUUGGGCCCGCAGCCCUCGCCCUCGCCCUCGCCCUCGCCCGCCGACCGCAAAGCCCCCCGCGGCGUUGCCGGCUGCCGCUCCCACGCCCCCGCGCUGGGGAGCAAGGAGGAACCGACUUCUGGGAGCCUCGGUCACUCACCCCCGGCCCCCUCCUCUGGUUUCCUGGGUGACUUGGCCAGGCGCGCGUCCCGGCUCUCGGGAAGGCCACUGCUGGGUGCCCGCGCGGGACCGCCCCCGUCACCGAGCGGCUUCCGGUCCAGUCAGCCCGGGCGAAGCCGCUCGCGGAGAUGAGAGCGGCAGGAAAUCAAGGUCACGGCUCCGGACACAAUGGGGCCAUUGUCGGCCUCCGGUCAGUUGACUUUCAAACAGCAGUUCCCCAUCCACCCUCGCUCCUUCUCCCCACCCCCGGCCCGAGCCACGAAGGCACCCAAACCCGCUGCCGCCCUGUAACCUCUGUCUGAGGAAGCAGCAAUCUGGCUCCCACCACGGACGGGGGAGGCUGGACCGCCCUUUGCAUUGUCUAUUUCGUCCACCAGGUGGCGACAGAGCACCGCAUUUCUGAGCGCGGGGAGGGCGGCAAAGGGUCGGCUGUUCAAUCAUUGACCCUACCCUUCCCGAUUGAUCCAAAAGAAACAAAAAAUCAAGUAAGAUUAUACUUUCCCCCACCCCUUACUCUGAGAUCCCCGGAAAUCUGGACUCUCAGGGGCUCUUCUCUCAGCAAACGGCAAAAUGGCCGUGGAUUGCUGCACUUUUCCUUCUCUUGAUGGAGAGGUUAACCGAGGGGAAGGGGCAAGCUCUUUGCUCAGCAGGUCACAGCAGGUGGAACCUCUCUGGUCUGGAUAAUCGAUUUCCUGGUUGAUUGGUUAUGUUACUGUAUAAAUGUCAUCUCUGUAAAGCCUCCCCUGGUCCCCCACGCACCACCCAGUCUAAAGUAUGUCCUCCCUGUUGUUCUUCCUCAGUGCCGGCUGUUUUGCCUCAGCGUAUCACAAUUUGUACUUAGCCACAUAUUUGUUUGAUUGUUUUGCACUAAGAUAUAUGCUCCAGGAAAGCAGGGACGGGAUCUGUUUUUACUCACCAGUGCAUCUUUAGUGCCUAGUAUAGUACCUGGCAUAUAGUAGGUGUUCCAAAAAAUAUGUCAGCAAAACGAAUGCAUGAGUGCACUUGAGGAAUGGGGUGGGGCCUCGGGUUCCGGAGAAUUCGGCUGUGUGAAUACAGGUAGUGCCUGGAUCCAUCUGGCAGGCCCGAAGUUUCCCCGGAGGGGUGGGCCCUGGAGGUGGAAGAGCUUUGGGUUGAGACGUCUGGUUCUGGCCUCUGGGCCCCUGGUGCACAGUCUCACCUCUCCCUGCCCCCUCACGGGCCGGGGCAGCUUGGUACGCAUCCCUUUCUGAGCGUCAUUCUCCUGGCACUACCUGCUAAGGCCACCGGGAGGAUCCCUAGAGUUAAUGCCUGGAAGGCGCUGGGCACUGGGCCUGGCACCUGGUAAGCCCUGGUGAGUGCUGGCCAUUGUGAUUGCUGCUGCUGGGGGAGGGGGGGGGAA